rnacentral:rRNA from 1 species
GACAGAGGCCUCAAGCGUUAGGCGGAAUCACUGGGCUUAAAGCGUGUGUAGGCGGAUCGUUAAGUACCUUGUGAAAUCCCACGGCUCAACCGUGGAACGGCUGGGUAUACUGGCGGUCUUGGGCCAUUCAGGGGCGACUGGAACAAGCGGUGGAGCGGUGAAAUGCGUAGAUAUCGUUUGGAACGCCGAUGGUGAAAACAGGUCGCUGGGGUUGUGCUGACGCUGAGACACGAAAGCCAGGGGAGCGAACGGG